UUGAAGAAAAGUGCUUGAUGUUUGGUGGUUUUGGAGCUUGAUAAUUGUAGAACUUUGAGCUUACUCUUGGUUUGAGUUUGAGGAAAGGGUAAGUCAGUGGCUGAUCAACCAUGAGUUUGAGGAGCAAGAUGAAGAAUGUACAUGUUCAAGCCAUAUCAGACCAAGCGGGUUAAGGGUCUAUCAGUGAUGAACUUUUGAAUUCUAUUUUGCCGUUUAGGUCGGCUAGAAAUAAAUGACUUGUAAUAGCGGUUGUAAAUAUUUUUGGGAUCCCAACUAUUUUAAAAGUUUUAAAUAUAUUACAAGUUUAUUUUCUUUCUGUUUAAUAUAAAAGUUUAAAUUCUGCGCUA